rnacentral:lncRNA from 1 species
GAGCAGCAAGUUCUACAUGCUGCAUUAAGAAGGAAGGAUGGCUUCUCUUGUCUGCAUACUGCUGUAGUCAGCAGAAGAACAAUUACCCAUCAGUUAGUAGAUAGGUUUAAUAGUCUGGGAAAAAUCAUCACAGUCUGAUACGAUAGUUAACACAUAGAGUGGGUUUGUCUUCUCUUCCUAGGAAAACUUGUGUUUUAUUUUGUUAUUUCUAGAGUAGGGUGGGUGUUAAAAGAUCUCCAGACAUUUUACUGUUGUUGUUGUUGUUGUUGUUGCUGCUGUUGUUCUAAGUUGGUACUCCUAAUGACUUGAGGUACCCCAACACUAAGUAGGAUUUUGGUGAUUAUUCUCUAUGAAAGGGAAGAGGGAGGUGGUAGAAUUAUAGGUACAUCUGGGACAACAGUGAUGCAGACGCAGAGCUUGCUUUACAUCGAUGAUGGAAGUUUUCUAAAGUAGCACUUUGCAUUUAUUUGAAUCCAGUGUUAAAAAAAAAAGUUUAUUAGUUUGUUUGUUUUUUAUGUGUAUGGGUGUUUUGUGUGCUUGUACAUCUCUGUAUCUUCUUUGUGACUAAUAUUUACCCAUGCCAGGCCAGAGGAGAGUGUCAGAUUCCCUGAAACUGGAGGUACAGAUGGUUAGGAGCCACUCUAUGGGUUCUGGGGAUCGAACCCAGGUCCUAGGGAAGAGUAGCCAGUGCUCUUAAUCAUCAAGCCAACUCUCCAAGUGCUCAUUCGAAUUUUUAAUGGAUAGUUCUGUUGAACUUAGUUUAUGGAACUGAUCUCAGCUACUAUCUUAUAAUUGUAUGGAAAAAGCUAACCCAUCACCAUAUAUUUCCCCAUUUUAAUAUUUACUAUUUACCAUGAAUAUGUAGCAAUAUUUAGCCUCCCUAAAAGAAAUAGCUGUUUAGAGAUUUUUUUUCCUCCCUUCAUUUUGGUGCCCAGUUAGUUCAGAGGAAACAUUUUACAUAUGAUUACUAAUGCAUUAGGGAAAUUUGGAGAUGGUGGGUACCAGAUUAUGGCUUCUGAACAUCCGAGCUCCCAUGUUUAUGUGCUAGUUAAUACUUAAAGGAUAUACGCUUAUAUCUAGUGGCAAUUGAUGUGAUGGUAAUAUUUUAUGAGUCAAUAUAUAUUUAAUCAGUGUAACUGUAAAAAUUGAUGAGAAAUAUGUAACUCAUACAGUAUACUGUACAGCAACUCUCCUUAGACAAAAGCUCCUUGUUACUGUGACUCGGGUAGGAUAAGGGAUCUAGGUAGCCAUCAUUGAUCUCAUAAAUGUCUUAAUACCAUUUUUUUCCUGAUCAAGCCUGAAAACUUAACAUUUUUAGAAAAUCUCGUUCUGUUAGUGAUUGUAUGCUCCAUCGUUCUCUUCUCUCCACACAAAUAUUUUCAAGUUAGAUUUGAAGCACUAUGAAUUUUACUUACAUGCUAAAUUUUGACAUGAAGCAUGAUGGCCCUAUUUCAGAGAAAGAUGGACACAUGAUUAAUAUGAAAAUUAGAGAGAUGCAGGUACCUGAACUAAUAAGGUAGUCCUUAUUCAGGCUGGAGUACCUUCAGUAAUUUCACCAUUUUUCAUGUGUCAGCCCUGAUGUGCGUUACUACGAAUAAGCAGCUCCGUGAAAAGCAUUUCUUUCUACUUGGGGAAUUUAAGGGCAUCCAAGUACAUAUAUUUG